UCCAUGUGUAGCGGUGAAAUGCGUAGAUAUAUGGAAGAACACCAGUGGCGAAGGCGGCUUUCUGGUCUGUUACUGACGCUGAGGCUCGAAAGCAUGGGUAGCGAACAGGAUUAGAUACCCUGGUAGUCCAUGCCGUAAACGAUGAAUACUAGGUGUUGGAGGGUUUCCGCCCUUCAGUGCCGCAGCUAACGCAUUAAGUAUUCCGCCUGGGGAGUACGACCGCAAGGUUGAAACUCAAAGGAAUUGACGGGGGCCCGCACAAGUGGUGGAGCAUGUGGUUUAAUUCGAUGCUACGCGAAGAACCUUACCAGCUCUUGACAUCUUCUGCCAACCCAAGAGAUUGGGCGUUCCCUUCGGGGACAGAAUGACAGGUGGUGCAUGGUUGUCGUCAGCUCGUGUCGUGAGAUGUUGGGUUAAGUCCCGCAACGAGCGCAACCCUUAUUAUUAGUUGCCAGCAUUUAGUUGGGCACUCUAGUGAGACUGCCGGUGAUAAACCGGAGGAAGGUGGGGACGACGUCAAAUCAUCAUGCCCCUUAUGAGCUGGGCUACACACGUGCUACAAUGGAUGGUACAACGAGUCGCGAAACCGCGAGGUCAAGCUAAUCUCUUAAAGCCAUUCUCAGUUCGGAUUGCAGGCUGCAACUCGCCUGCAUGAAGUUGGAAUCACUAGUAAUCGUGGAUCAGCAUGCCACGGUGAAUACGUUCCCGGGCCUUGUACACACCGCCCGUCACACC
rnacentral:rRNA from 2 species